rnacentral:misc_RNA from 1 species
GAUGAAGAACGUAGCGAAAUGCGAUACUUGGUGUGAAUUCCAGAAUCCCGUGAACCAUCGAGUUUUUGAACGCAAGUUGCGCCCGAAGCCGUUAGGCUGAGGGCACGCCUGCCUGGGUGUCACAAAUCGUUGCCCCAAUGCCAAUCGCCUCACUUUGUAGGUAUUUGCUUGGGGUGAAUGUUGGCCUCCCGUGAGCUUUGUCUCACGGUUGGUUGAAAAUCGAGUGCAUGGUGUCGGGUGUACCAUGAUGGAUGGUGGUUGAGUGAUGAUGCUCGAGACCAAUCAUGGGUAACUCCACCAGAAUUGGGCUCGGUGACCCACAUGCGUCCCUUGGAUGCUCCCUAAGGAGACCUCAGGUCAGGCGGGGCUACCCGCUGAGUUUAAGCAUAUCAAUAAGCGGAGGA